rnacentral:rRNA from 1 species
GACGAACGCUGGCGGCGUGCUUAACACAUGCAAGUCGAACGAAGAGCGAUGGAAGCUUGCUUCUAUCAAUCUUAGUGGCGAACGGGUGAGUAACGCGUAAUCAACCUGCCCUUCAGAGGGGGACAACAGUUGGAAACGACUGCUAAUACCGCAUACGAUCCAAUCUCGGCAUCGAGACUGGAUGAAAGGUGGCCUCUAUUUAUAAGCUAUCACUGAAGGAGGGGAUUGCGUCUGAUUAGCUAGUUGGAGGGGUAACGACCCACCAAGGCGGUGAUCAGUAGCCGGUCUGAGAGGAUGAACGGCCACAUUGGGACUGAGACACGGCCCAGACUCCUACGGGAGGCAGCAGUGGGGAAUCUUCCGCAAUGGACGAAAGUCUGACGGAGCAACGCCGCGUGAGUGAUGACGGCCUUCGGGUUGUAAAGCUCUGUUAAUCGGGACG